AAGACCUUGCGCUUUUGGAGCGGCCGAUGUCUGAUUAGCUAGUUGGUGGGGUAAUGGCCUACCAAAGCUUCGAUCAGUAGCUGGUCUGAGAGGACGGCCAGCCACACUGGGACUGAGACACGGCCCAGACUCCUACGGGAGGCAGCAGUGGGGAAUUUUGGACAAUGGGCGCAAGCCUGAUCCAGCCAUGCCGCGUGAGUGAAGAAGGCCUUCGGGUUGUAAAGCUCUUUCAGCCGGGAAGAAAAGGCUGCGACUAAUAAUCGCAGUUCAUGACGGUACCGGAAGAAGAAGCACCGGCUAACUACGUGCCAGCAGCCGCGGUAAUACGUAGGGUGCGAGCGUUAAUCGGAAUUACUGGGCGUAAAGGGUGCGCAGGCGGUUUUGUAAGUCAGAUGUGAAAUCCCCGGGCUUAACCUGGGAGCU
rnacentral:rRNA from 1 species